UCUGCUCCGACCCGAGGCCCAGGCCCGGCGAGGCCCUGCUCUCUUCCCUCAUCGGCUUCGUUACCUUGGGUGGGGCUGGGGGCAGGGCGCAGGAGAGGGUCGGGGCAAAGGAGCCCAGUGGUGGUGGCGGCGGCGACGGCGGCGGCAGCAGCAGGAAAAAAAAAAAAAAUCUCCGCGGCAACAACAAGGCGACUCGGUCUGAAAAGGAAGAACUUGGUCAGCGACGAGGGGGAGGGGAAAAAGCCGGGCACUAGAAGGAGGAAAAGACAGAACGGAUCAAGCCUCGCGAGAGGUUAAAAGCCUCGCGAGACGUCACCUCCUCACGUGAUUCCCAGCUUUCUCUGCGCCGCCCACCUUUACUCGCGUUAGAGACGCGGAGUGGGCGGAGCUUCGCAGAAAGGAAAUGGCGUAGCUUGGCUGCGCCAGGCGCCGGAUGUAGGUUGGAGAAUGAGGAAAGUGAUACUCCCAGAACUGGCUCCUUUAGGCCUCUAAGCAGCCACAGUCAACUGGCUCUGGAUUGAAAAUGAGUGUGGAGAACUACUCCUUCCCUGACCAGUGUGCCUUUGUGGACUUCUUAGCAGUUGGGUUUCUGCUGUCCCAAAGCCACCGUGACCACACCUGGCAAGAUGACCAAGAAUGUCUGCAUUGCUCCGGUCCAGCUAUUACCGUUCUAUUCUGAACUUAGCCGGUCUUUUGGCCGCAUUUGACAAAGUUGACCCUGCUGAGAGCUGGAGAGAGAAGCCUCUGAGCUGAGGGAACUGAAAAUCCAAAAGCUCUGAGAUUCGAAAGCAUCUGUCGAGUGUCUGAAUGUGUCUGGCUCAAUACAGGUGCUUCACCUGAAGAAAACCUAAAAACGUAUUAAAAAUCAAAGCCACGGAAGAUCUCAGCAAGAUUUCUUUGACAAUUAGUAUUUUUCUUUUUUUUUUAAUUUUACUCUGUGUUAAUCAUCUUAUCUUAGAACCUGUCAAUCGGCCACUGAUAGAAAUGGGGAAAAAAGGUGGUCCAUCACCUACAGAUCAAUUAAGAAACAAUGAAAUACACAAUAUCAAAACCAAGACACACAAAGAAUGAAAAAUCAAGCCACAUAAUGGGGGGAAAUGUUUGCAGCACAUUAAUGAUUAAGGGGGCUUAAAGAAUCAAUUCAAGUAAAAAUGGGUGAAAAAGUGAACACAUCACAUGAGAAAUCCUAAUGCCUGGGGAACGUGUGAGGAGUGCCCACAACCUCACUAUCAAUAGAAGCUUCAGAUUAUUAAUAGGGGUAAAAUUUUAGAUGGACAAAAACUAAGAAGACUCCUAAUUCCAACUGUUGUUGAGGAUGCUGAGCAGCCGGAGCUCUCUCGUGGGAGAGUACACUAUCCAAAGCCUUUGGAACACUGUUUGGCAGCAUCCACUGAAGCCAAACACAAAACGCCGGACUUGUGAACAGCAAUUCCACUCCAAGUCCCAGUCCUAGCUGCUGACAACACGUGCACAAGCCCAGUGACGAAAGCAGCAAGAUUUGUGAUGGUCUGGAAGUGAAAACAGGACAAACGACCACCAGUAGCCAACUGGAUAAAUGGAUGACAUGCUGUUUACCCUGUGGAAUAGUUAGCAGCAGCAAAGACCAUCACGCCACAGUUUCAAACGAUGACGUCAGUGAAGCUCACAGACUGUAAUCCUCCAUCCUCCAUCCAGGGCCAGACACUCUGGGGUCAGACACUCCGAUAAAUUUGGUGACUUCCUAAUGCUGGAGUUAGUCUGCAGAGCUGUGCCUGCUUGGUGCCCAGAUCUUUUGGAGGGUGAGAGAGGGUCCCUGAUAGGGUCUCCAGUAAGAGGAGUCCUGGGCUCCCCCCGGGGAAUUGCCAUGGUUCCUGUCACUGCUGUUGAGAACAUUCAGCUUGCUGGUUCUUGAAUCAUAGGUGCUUGUUCAGUUGAGUCAGAGGUCUUUCCUGCUUCUCAUCGGCUGGGUACCUGUGCCUCCAAAGUGUUUCCCCAGCUCCUGCUGCUGUUCCCUGCUGUGGACCCUGCCUUCCUGGUGCCUCCUCCUCAGGGGCAUGGGGAUGGUGUAGGGCCCAUGAGAUUCUUAGCUACUUACAUCCUUCAUUCCUCUGUUCCCACUAUAAUUUCAAGCCAUAUAUAUGUAUUGUCCAAAAUCAGGUUAAUCCUAGGAGCAUUAGAGAAUGAGGCCAUCCUGGCCCUGGCCUCCGUAUAUGUAGCCCAGAUGUAAGCCACACAGUGAAAAUGUUAAGACAUUUGAGUGAAUGCAAAGUACCAGGAACCUACCUUUCUCUCCAGAAAAUCUCCAGCCACCUCUUUUCCUUUCCAGGGUCAGGUUCCUAUAGCCCCACUCUUUAUGUUUUUCAGCGCCUCCAAAAUAGGCUCCUCAUCUGCCUCCCCAUCCACACCUUUUUUAAAACCUCAUAAUAGUGUACUACACACACAGUUUGCCUUUUCACCUGUAUUUCUUGGCAGCUGGACAUUUAGAUCUGCCUGGUUAAAGGGUUCAUAGUACUCCAGUAUAAAGAGGUGCUAAUGGCUGGACACUUGGGAUCUUUUUUUCCUGGUUUUUGUCUAAUAGGCUGCAGUGAAAAAGAAUCUCCCUGCUUAAUCAUCUUUCCCAAGACUGAGUUUCCUUGGGUAGUUAGAAGAAUGUUUAACUUUUUCUUUCAAGAAAAGAGGAUGUGAGCUGAGAGGAGCCUUCUGUGGGCCUGCUGGGAAAUUGGGACUCUUCUGUGUAGUAGCAGGGUCAUCUUGGGAGAGCCACUUAUCACAUGGAGGUGACAUGGGAAGAUGCCCAUAAGAAUGGUGAAAUGCAAUAACAUGUUGGUUGAGAUGCUUUAAGAAGGGGACACCUGGGUGGCUCAGUGGUUGAGUGUCUGCCUUUGGCUCAGGUCGUGAUCCCGGGGUCCUGGGAUGGAGUCCUGGAUCAACCUCCCCACAGGGAGCCUGCUUCUCCCUCUUCCUAUGUCUCUGUCUCUUUCUCUGUGUCUCUCAUACAUAAAUAAAUAAAAUCUCUUUUUUUUUUUUUAAGAUGCUUUAAGAAGUUGAAAACAUUAUACGGCAACAAUAAAGUGUGACUAAAGUAAUGGGGCAGAUUUGACUGGAAUCAUCUACUACAACCAGCCAUAUACCUUUAUGUUUGGAUAGAUGAUACCUGGAAGUCUGAGAACACCUAAUUCAGACCCUGGCGGGGAAGGGGGGAAGGACUAGAAAUGUACUGUCUUGUGUAGAAGUCCAUGGGGUAGGCUGGCUUCAGGCACUGUGAGAUUCAAAUGCUCAAGUGAUGUCACAACGCUUGGAUUUCUUUACUUAGCUCUGUCUUCUGAUGUAUUGGCUUUCAUAAGUCUUCUUGUUGUGGGGACAAGAUGGCCACAGCAUGUCUCCUCAGGCUUUGGUACAGCAGGAAAGGGAAAGAAUCUUCUUCCCUAGUAGCUGAAACCUGUCCCAAGUUAAGUCUUCUUGACCCUAAUUGGAGUUGUCAGUCAGGUAGGCAUUUCUGAACUACCCAGAGAAUAUAAUUCUCUGGCUGUCUCAGCCCAGAUGUAAUACCUUUUUUGGAACUCAAGGCAAAGUCAACUCUGCUAGAAUCCUCUGGACUGAGAGAAGAAGAGUAGACAUCUGAACAUAAACCCAGUGCUAUUCUGGCAUUAAGUGAAAUGGACAGUGGGCCAUCAAGAAGCCACAAAUUCUCACUGCAUUUAGGGACUUCCUGUUCUUGUGAGCCUGUCGUUUCAAAAUUCUGUCUCAGCUGAGUUUCCUUCAGGGAAUAUCUCCACAUUUUGUUUUAGGUGGUGGUAGAAUAUUAGAUGCACGUAUGUGGCAAGAGAAAUGUUUGCAUAUUGAAAGUGUUUCUCUUUUUCUGAGAUAGCUCUUCCUCCUAUCAUGCAAAGAGGUUUACCUCACAAAGGCCUGGCAAAAUGAAUGUAGUUCUUAAUCGGAGUUGCAGGGAAAGCAAACACACAAAGGCUGAGCAUCCUCCCUCUGCACAGCUAAGAAGAGAUUAAGUGCAGAAACCCCCCCCCCCCAAUACGUGCAAGGUCAUUUAAAUCAGAGCAGAGAGGAGGAAAAAACCAAUAAUUGUUUUUUGAUCGAACGUGAUUACAUUUUAGAUAAGCUCAUCCACGCUUUUGCUGUCACAAAGGGAAAGUUGAGGAGGUUGCCAAAUAAGCUCCCCUACCUUCAAGUUUUGAAAGAGCCAAUUAUGAGAUGCAAAUGACCCAAAUCUGGGCUAGGAGUUUAACCCUGAAAUAACCGAUAAGCAUGUCAGUUCUCUAAUCUUCUUUUCUUAGGGUGUACAUCUGUUUUGACUCCUUUCUGUGUCGUCUGUUUCUUUUUCCUACUCUACCUCACCCUCCAGUCUUCAUGUUCUGGGAGCUGGCUGGCCUCACUGCGCACAGGGGAGCACAGCGCUCACGACCCAUGGGCAGGUGCUGCUGAGCUACAGAUUGCUGCCCAGUCACUCACCAUUCAUGUAAAUCCGUGGUACUAUCCUGCCCUCGGCUCUGCUUUUGGAGAGAGUGGGGGGCCCCGGGAUAGGUGAGCCCCAGGAGGCAAGCCGGAGGGAGCCACCAAGAGCAUGGGUGCAGAGCAGCCCCUCUGAUGGCCACAUGGCGGAAGCAGGACCAGAGGGGCUUGCUUGGCUCUUUUCUGUCUCUUGGCCAAGCAGUGCCCAGCUCCUUCCUCCGCAGUCCUUAUUCCCAGGCAAUGCAUUCCCCUGUAAUCCAGUACCCACAACCGUGGUAGCCCUCAGACUUUGCUUUGUGUGGUCAGUAACAGGUUUUAACAUAUUUUAAAUUUAAAUGCCUUCGGGUCCGGUAUAUGUGUAUAUAUGGAUGUAUGUAUAAAAGCCUUUUGUUUUCCACAGUCCCUACUCCUCCCUAUUGCCUUUCACAGACUGCUUCAUUACACCUUAUCUGACUGACCUUCAGCUAGUAGGUAACACAUUAACCCUUUCAUUUUUAUCACCUUAAUUCUCUCUCUCCUUCUUCUCUCUGAAGCAAACAAUAAACAUCGAGGAAUGCCUCAGUCCUGAGUGUGUACCUCUACCGCUUCACUGGGUCCCACUCUCCAAGUCUGACUUUUCUGUCCCCAGAGAAGCCACCCGUCUCUGAGUCCACAUUUUGACCCAUCUUCCUGCCAAGCCCUCCAGCCUCCUCCUAAUUAAUUCAUACUCCUCCAGAGCUCCGCUGAAAGGGCACUUGCUCAGGAAAGCCCUCCCUGACUCCCCCCAAUUAGGACGGAUCCUGUCACAUGCUCAAAAUACCCUGUACUCUUGCUUCACAGCAUUUACCCGAAUGGUCUUGCAAUAGUUACCUGUCCUCUUUCCUCCCUCCCCACAAACACCUCCCAACCUUGACCACCUCCCAAAUGCAAGCUCAGGGAGGGUGGUUACUCAGUUUGUCGUUUUCCUAGUUUAUCUCCAGCCCCAACGGAGCACAAUCAGAGUGCUCUUACAUGUUGAUCAGUGCGUGAGUGAGUGAGUAAAUGAGAAGAUGGUUAAGGCAUCAGACUUAGACUGAACCGGCAGGGAGGAGAGUUUCAGGGGGAGGACUGCAGGGACGCAGGGUUCAAGGGAGCAUAGCACGAGCAUAUGAUGGUACUAUGUGGAGUCUGGUUCAUUCAUAAAUUCCAGCCUCUGUGAAUGCACCAGGCUUCCUGACGUCCCCUCAGAGUGGGGACCCAGCAGCCAGAGCGUUUCCCAGCAGCCCACCAAGUGUAGGCAGAGGAGGGUUUCUCCCCUCCCUUGGGAUCUUUCACUUGAGCCCCAAAAGUCCCCUCUUGCGCUCCUUCUGGUAAGCUUUCCUCACCUUCCCCACUCUGUUUAGACUCCUCCCUCCAUUCCCUCUUGAAAUAAAAGCCAUUUAGUGAUAUAUUCCUUGGUUUCUCUUUUUUCUAUCUCAAAUCUGGCCUUCGGCAGCACUUAUCUUUAGUGAUAUAGGGUGAGCAAUCUUCCCAGGAAAAGUUUUUCUACAUGUCUGUGGUUUAACCUGAAUUGUUUUUGUUUGAGGUUUAAAUGGAUCUAUUGAUUUUCUGACCCAUUCAGGAACUUCGCUAUUUUUAAAUAAAAGAGGGAAGUACCAAGUAAUAGGAAAUUGAAACCAAUUUCCAUGGAUGCAAGUCACCUUCAAGAAGGACAGACCACCUUUUGGAGGCCUGAUAUAGUGGGGGAAGGACCCUAUUCUGGGUGCAGAGAUCGAGGUGCUGAGCCUACUCUUGCCGCAACCCCUCACUGGUGGCCCUGCACUAGCCCUGUCUGCACCAUGAGGGUGUCUGUCCCAGGAUGGAUCUUAAGCCCCUCUAACCCUGAUGACUCACCUAGGUCCCUGAGCUCAGCAUCAGUGGAUGUCACUCUUUCCCCCUGCACUGAAGCCCACGAAAGCCCCGGAGGGCAUGGGUCACCAGGUGGCAGCUUCCUCGGUGGGCUCGCCUGUGUCCUUGGACAGUCCUCAUGCCUGUCUAGGCAGGGAGUGCAUUGUGAGGUCCAACUUACAGGAAUGGAAGGAGAUGAGAGAAAUGGCUCUUUCUUUGUUCUGUGAAUACCCUAAAUGAGCCAACCUCUUACUUCCACCCACUGGGCACAGGAGCUGGCCUCAUGGUUGGUGUUAAAGGAUUGUGUGUUUGUGUUUCCCCCACCACUGAAAUUCAGAUGUUGAAAUCCUAAUCCCCAGGGUGAUGGUUUUAGGAGGUGGGGCUUUCGUGAAGUAAUUAGUUCAUGAGAGUGGAGCCCUCAUGAAUAAGAUUGGUGUCCUUAUACAAGAGACCCCAAAGAGCUAGCUCACUCUCUUUCCACCAUGGGAGGAUACAGGGAGAAGUUGGCUGUCUGUAGCCUGGAAGACAGUUUUCACCAGAACCUGACCAUGCUGGCAUCUGGUUCUGAGUUUUGAGCCUCUAAACUGUGAGAAAUAAAUGUGUGUUUUUUAAGCCACCCAGUCUAAGGUAAUUUGUUAUUACCUGAACUAAGACAGUUGGGUCGGAAGAGGGGUUCUCUGCAUACACAGGGGUCUCUCCAUAGUGCCUUGUGCUCUUUUCUCUCCUCUAGUCUUUGCCACUACUGAUUAGAAUACACCAGUAUGGUCAGGCAGGAAAUGUGAGGAGGUCUCCUACUCCUCUGCACCCCUAUCCUGAUCAGGGAGGCAUAUUCAUCACCAAAGGGGACAUAGAAUUGGUCAGUCAUCAAGUAUUUUCCCUCCCCUGGGGAACACAUCAUAGUGGAACAGAAGAAAUCCUUGAAAGAGUCACUGGUUCAAGGACACUUAUGGCAGUUAAUAAUAAAACACCAAGUUAAUGCUUCCCAGGACUGGGGAAACUAGGAUCCAUUCAUCCCAGAGCCCUAGGAAGCAAUGGCAACCAUGUAAGGAAGCCUGGAGCUGGUUAAGGAUUUGGUGUUGGGCAUUUAAAGGAGAUGGUGGGUGGAAUCCAUGUGUCAAGUAGUGUGAAUGCUGCCACCAAGUUAUGCUACCAUAUCUGGCUUCUGAAACAGGAUGAGAUUUGGGGCCCUCGGGUGGCUCAGUUGGUUAAGUAUCUGUCUGGGGUACUGGGGUUGAGCCCCACAUCGGGCUCCUUGCUUGGCUGGAAGCCUGCUUCUCCCUCUCCU